UCCACGGAAGGGCAAACCUCCCGAAAGGGUGGGACGCAAAGCUAUCGGGCCUAAAGCCGGGUAUUGGCGCAAGGACAGCUGCCUUAAAAAGGUGCGGCCUUGGCGCCUGUAUUUGGCCAGGGCGGCCGGGUUGCCAAG
rnacentral:ncRNA from 1 species